rnacentral:rRNA from 1 species
UGAGGAAUAUUGCGCAAUGGGCGAAAGCCUGACGCAGCGACGCCGCGUGUGGGAUGAAGGAGCUUUGCUUCGUAAACCACUGUCGGACGGGAAGAAAAAGUUCCUACGGGGGCUUGGGACAGUACCGUCAGAGGAAGCACCGGCUAACUACGUGCCAGCAGCCGCGGUAAUACGUAGGGUGCGAGCGUUGUCCGGAAUUACUGGGUGUAAAGGGUGCGUAGGCGGGCAUGUGCGUCGGAGGUUAAAUACAACGGCUUAACCGUUGAACUGCCUUCGAAACGGCAUGUCUUGAAUGUGGGAGAGGAUGAUGGAAUUCCUGGUGUAGCGGUGAAAUGCGUAGAUAUCAGGAGGAACACCGGUGGCGAAGGCGGUCAUCUGGCCCACUAUUGACGCUGAGGCACGAAAGCGUGGGGAGCAAACAG